rnacentral:rRNA from 1 species
GACGAACGCUGGCGGCGUGCUUAACACAUGCAAGUCGAACGGUAAGGCCCUGCUUUUGUGGGGUGCUCGAGUGGCGAACGGGUGAGUAACACGUGAGUAACCUGCCUGUGACUUUGGGAUAACUUCAGGAAACGAGGGCUAAUACCGGAUAACAGCUCCUGCUGCAUGGUGGGGGUUGGAAAGUUGCGGCUGUUGCGAGUGGACUCGCGGCUGAUCAGCUUGUGGGUGGGGGAGUGGCUUACCAAGGCUUUGACGGGUAGCCGGCCUGAGAGGGUGACCGGCCACAUUGGGACUGAGAUACGGCGUAGAGAACUACGGGAGGCAGAAGUGGGGAAUAUUGAGCAAUGGGCGGAAGCCUGAUGCAGCAACGCCGUGCGAGAUGACGGCCUUCGGGUUGUAACCCGCUUUCGCCUGUAAAGAAGAGUGAGUGACGGUAAUGGGUAAAGAAGCACCGGCUAACUACGUG